rnacentral:pre_miRNA from 1 species
AUCUAGGACAAUCUCUGUUUCUCAGUAGGGAUGAAUUACCAUAAAGAAAAUUAUCCUAGAUAGAUUUCCUUUCAAGUUGAAAAAUCUUGU